AACGAACGCUGGCGGCAGGCUUAACACAUGCAAGUCGAGCGCCCCGCAAGGGGAGCGGCAGACGGGUGAGUAACGCGUGGGAAUCUACCCAUCUCUACGGAAUAACGCAUGGAAACGUGUGCUAAUACCGUAUACGUCCUUCGGGAGAAAGAUUUAUCGGAGAUGGAUGAGCCCGCGUUGGAUUAGCUAGUUGGUGGGGUAAAGGCGUACCAAGGCGACGAUCCAUAGCUGGUCUGAGAGGAUGAUCAGCCACACUGGGACUGAGACACGGCCCAGACUCCUACGGGAGGCAGCAGUGGGGAAUAUUGGACAAUGGGCGCAAGCCUGAUCCCGCCAUGCCGCGUGAGUGAUGAAGGCCCUAGGGUUGUAAAGCUCUUUCACCGGUGAAGAUAAUGACGGUAACCGGAGAAGAAGCCCCGGCUAACUUCGUGCCAGCAGCCGCAGUAAAAC
rnacentral:rRNA from 1 species